GCAGCGAAAUGCGAUAAGUAAUGUGAAUUGCAGAAUUCAGUGAAUCAUCGAAUCUUUGAACGCACCUUGCGCCCUUUGGCUAUUCCGAAGGGCAUGCCUGUUUGAGUAUCAUGAACACCUCAACUCUCAUGGUUUGCCGUGAUGAGCUUGGACUUUGGGGGUUUUGCUGGCCUAUGGUCGGCUCUCCUCAAAUGGAUCAGCUUGCCAGUGUUUUGGUGGCGUCGCAGGUGUGAUAACUAUCUAUGCUUGUGGACUCCCACCAGGCAACCUGCAUCACUGAAGGUUCGCUGGAGCUUAUAAACGUCUCUCUCAACGAGGACAGCAUUUUGAAGUUUGAUCUCAAAUCAGGUAGGACUACCCGCUGAACUUAAGCAUAUCAACAAGCGGAGGAAAAGAAACU
rnacentral:rRNA from 1 species